ACCAUUUUUGUAUUGAAUUGCCAUACCGUGAUGUAAGCGUUUGCUGCUACCGCCCACCCAUAGAGCGCUUGAUAGAUUUUCGGUGAGUCACUUUCAGUAACUUGGCUGAUGCAUAAAGAUGUGGAUGAAUUCAUGUUUGAAUUUCAGUUUUCCCCCUUUCCUGUAUCCGAUUGUCUUUACUCCCUUUAGUUGGCGAAAGUCCGAUAUUUUGCCUUUAUCGAAAAGAGAGGAGGAUGAGCAAGAGGAAGGGAUGUCAGAAGCAAUAGAAGAUGAAGAUUUCUUUCUGAGACACCAGAGUUAUGAGCGUAGAGAGAAACUCUGCAGCUCCUGCUGGGAUCAGGACAAAAGAAACAGGAUCAGGUCAUCCAGGAAAAUCUGCUCUUCUGUAUCUGUGAGAGACCAUCGUGCUCACUGUUUCCCACCUGUACAUUCUCCCGUUCCCUUCACCUAGACCUGCAGUUCCUCUGAAGAUUCAUCAGAAAGAUGUGAGAUUGAGAAGUGAGAAUGGCUCAAAAUAAGAUGUAUCUGUCUAACUGAAUUAGCUUUUUCAUCAAGCAUUUCAAAUCAGUGUCAUAUUUCUUCACUACCUUUAUCUUGUGGGAGCUUGAUUCAUCUAGAUGUUUCUAAUAAAUCUUAAUAUAACUAGAUAACUCCCUCUAGUCUAUAAAGUGCCAUACCUCCCUCUAUUGGACAUACUUGGAAUAACAUGCACAUACUACAGUGACAUUUUGCACAUAUUCAGCAAGC